UGCGGUCGUACACCUGCGCGCUCGCCGCCGUCGUCCACCUCUGCUUCACUGCCGUCUCCCCACCACGGCAUCGAACAUCGCCGUUUCGCUGCCUCUCGGUAAUAACUCGCGCCUAAAGCCUCUCCUAGUUCCAUAGAAGCUUAGUAUCUCACCAAUUUUGGCGAUUAGCACCCAAAGCCGUGCCGGACCGGCCACUUUUUCGCCCCCGGCGAGCUCGCCGUGGACAAGCCAUCCCAGGGGCUCCCCUUCCUAUCUAGCUAACAAAAUGGAACCCCCAUAUGCCGUAGAUGCUCACGCACUCAUAAAUUUGGUCGAAAACCCUUCCUGUCAUCCUAGCCACUUGCAGCCGAGCUCGGCUAUGGCGCAGCUAUGGCGGCCAUGCGCCUCGUCCCUCCAAGCGCCGCCGCAGCCGGUGGGUAGUCUCCGGAGCUUCUCCGCGCCUCCCCUAGCCGCCGCCGGUUCGCCCUCGGCCGGCCUUCCGUGCGUGCCGUGUUCCCCUGCUGCUUCCGCUCGGUCGGGAGGAAGAAGACGAAGGUUGAAGACGACCUUCAGCCGAGCCACUGACAAGCCGUCCCCACUCCUCCUAUUUCCUUUAGAAACUUAAUCCUGUGAAAAAUAAAAUCAAAGCUUUGACCCCACAUGUCAGCAGCUGUUAGGGACAAUGAUAUAUUUUGGAUUAAAAAUAAAUGAAUUAUGCACAGUCGCUUUUCACAAUUUCUCGGAUUAAUUCGAAAUUGAAUCUUUAAACUAGUAUAACUUGCUCAUUUUAACUUGGAUUUGAGUGAAACUUGAACCUUAUUUCAUCUAAAUUCAUAAUCUUUCCAAUGGUAUAUAACUCAUUGUUUAAUAAAAUAUAUUUAUAAUUAUUACAUAAUUAAUAUCAAAUGAUUAGAUUAUGGUCAACUUAAAAAUAUGCUAAUAAAUAAAAUUGGUAUUGUACAGUAGAGUGGAUGUAAUAAUAUUUGUUUCUAGCAUGUUUUUUUUUCACAGUAGCAAUCAUGAAAAUUAAGUAUAUGUGAUGUCUCAAAUGAACGGAUGUAUAGGAAAAUACUAGUACUUAUUUAAUAUUCGAUGGCCAUAUAAUUAAACCCAUGACUUAUAAAUUAUUUAUAUAAAGUUUAGCCUCAUAUUUUGUAACUAAAAUAUUAAUACUCAUAGAUGAAUCUUUAACUUGUUUAUGAGAAAUAAUAACAGAGCUAGUGUGAUUAAAUCACCUAUACGAAAUUAAUUACUUAAUGUCAUGUUCCAUGGAAUAGUAUCUUUUAAGUUGGUAAUCAAUCUUAAGUUGAUAAACAGUACCAACUCACCAAAUCCACCUGCAUCACAUAUACUGUAUAGCUUACAGUAAAUAGCUCAUGCUUAGUAAACGAUCUAAUAUUAGUAUGUUAUUGCACUCACAACUACUGUACAGUCCAUUUAAAUCAUACACAAGAACAAUAACCUACCUUUUUCAUAUAUUAAACUGAGGAGUCUAUGAUAAGCGUGUAUAGUAGAUAAAACACUAAUUAUAAAUCUUGACCUCACACAAUUAUAGUUUGACCGUGACUUAGGAUUAUUUAUGGUAAAAUUAUGCAUUGAGAUAAACUUUAACUAUAAUAUUAUGGACCACACUAAUCUAACCUACAUAGCAUGUAAUUCGUUGGAACCCUAAUACAGUAAUAUUUGUAGAGCCAUGCUUAGAUAAUCCAUCCUGUUAGAACUCUUGUUAUGAUUAAAUUAUCCACUGAGCCUUGGUAAAUCUCCUGUAGGGUGUCACCAUUUAAAUUACGAUCAAAGCUAGUUUAGCCAUGAACUCCACAUAGCAAUAGUUGAUAGAUAAUUCCGUAGUCCUGAGUAUUGAGUUCUGUAUGUGAGCAGCCAUAGUUUAGACUUCGUAGCACCUUACAAUCCAUUAGCAAGCACGAGUGAUAUGAAUAGCCCUAGGUAUAUUCCGAACAAUUAUAUUUUGUUUGUGCAUAUUUGAUUGUUGCUUGAAUAUUGGUUUUCUCGCAUAUUAUAGAAAUUGUAUAUCGGAUAGUCGUGAGGCAACGUAUGCAGCUUCCAGGAGGUGAAGGUUGAUCAAGAUCAUAUCAAGAAUAAGAACUAUCCUGAGCAGGCAAGUGUGGACCCCCGAUUUUGGAAAUCGGAAAUCAUCUGUGUUUAUCCGUACCAAUCCCUGGAUCAGUAGUUGGUACACACAUACAUAGUUGAAUCACAACAUAUCACGAAUGAAUUCAGGCUAAAAGAGUUAAAUACUUACAUUAGGGCCAGGUAGGCCAACAACUAUCAGAGAACAACAGCGGAAGACAAAAUAAUAUAAGGGCCCGGUUAACAUGCCACAGGCAGUCGACUGGGGAACGAGACCUAGAACAAGACCGCACUCCGAUCAUCUUGUUGGAUACACAAGCGUACCGACAAGGGCUUCUCUUCAACACUCUCCUAAAAGAUAUAUGAAUAGCAAGGGUGAGUACCAACCGUACUCAGCAAGGCACCAUAACAACAAUGCAUAUGAUAGAGGGUAUUUCAAGGAAGGGCUCCAGGUUCUUUUGCGUAAAGCAAGCUUUUGCAAAUCUUUUCACAAGCAUGAGACCUAGCAUAGACUGAUCAAGUUUUAAUACCAAUGUUCACAUUAAACAACGACGGUUCUGCCCACCAUCCAUUGUGAUCCCAAGGAUAGCUUCCCGCCAUUGAGUCGUCAUGGUUUUCUGAGGACGUCCACCUUCCCUCCUCUCAGGAAGUGGCUCCAUCAGCAUAAAAAUCAUCAUGCAAUAUCCCAUCCCACACAAGUUAAAGAAUUUAGAGUCUAGCCAAGUGUAAUACAUGUCCCGGUGCUCAAUAACCGCGAGCACGGCUAUUCGAAUAGAUUUGGUUUACUCACACUGCAGUGGAUGUACACUUUACCCGCACUCCGCGACUGCCCAACACAUGAGCCUCGUCCCAACACAUGAGACGCGUCACGGCAAAGCUUUUCGAUAACCUCGCAUUGGCAGUACCCGCUCCAUGAACUUAAAUCCUCAUGCACUCUAGGCGUCCAUGUUUCUAGCAGUGAGAGGAGUUCUGGCGCUCCCGGGAAAGAGAAGUCUCACACACAUAUUAAAUUAUGGUUCAAGUUAAGUUCUCUCUCUCACACACUCAUGGCAGUCCUACCAAUGGCGACACCGAUGUAGGGCACGCCUCUCGGCCCUACUUCAACGGCUGUCCCACCGUAGCGCACCUGCCUCACUCAGGGGUGAACCAUCUAUGCAGGGAUACUGCCUCCGCUCGGCUAUCUAAUCCGCUAGGUCUAUACCCAUACGAGAAGUGCGGUUGUACGGGGGUCGUUUCAUGCUUAACUUCAUGGCUCGGUCCUUAAUUGACCGGGGACAGUACUAGCCUUUUCCAGAUACAACCCAAAUCCUCCGUCCGCCCCAGUCGAAAACAGUUGUUUAAUUUUAUUUCUCCUUUCACAAAUCAUGUCAUCAACAUCAUGGCAAUGUGGCGCUCAUGUCUCCACAUGCCGCAUCUUAAUUACCUUCCCAAAGGUAAUUGCCCAAGCAUAUAGCAUUUGAUAAAUAUGAGUAUGCAUGAUUCUAGAAUAGCAUUUCUAAGCAAUUGUCAUAGUUGACUAGGGACUCAUACGUAAACAUGGUUACAAAGAUUUAAGGGUAAACAAUAAUCAAGGCAUGGCAUAAUCACAAGUGGGAUGUUCAUCAUUGCAUGCAAUUUUAUUUGUAAACAAAACAAUUUCGCAAUUGGGAUCAACAUGUUCAAGGAAUAGUGAUGACUUGCCUGCUCAGAGUAGUUCUUAUUCUUAAUAUAAUCUUGAUCAACCUUCACCUCCUGGAAGCUGCAUACGUUGCCUCACGACUAACCGAUACACAGUCUAGAAUACGCAAGAAAAACCAAUAUUCAAGCAACAAUCAAAUAUGCACAAACAAAAUAUAUUUGUUGAGGUCGAACUUACGGUUGCUCAUAUUAUUCGCGCUUGCUAAUGGAUUCCAACAUGCUAAGGGCUAAAGUUUCUUAAUCUUUCUGUUGUCAUGGUGGUCUAUAUAGGAGCUAACCAAUGUAGUAUGAAUGAGAUACGUAUCUGGCUACUAUGUGGUUUAGUCUAGCAAAUGGCUAUUCAUGCAUCUAUCUAAAUAGAAUGGUUAUACACUAGAGGUUCUGUUGCCGGAUGGAUUUGGAUCGGUCAAAUAAUUAAUGUGAAUCAUUUGUAUUAUUAUUUUAUUGAUGGAGGCUUUAUUUUAAUUAUGUACAUAUUUUACUUGUCAAAAUAAAUUAUAAAGGUUAACAAUUACCCUUGCUUUGUAUGUUAGAAUUGUCUAGGUCAAUCAUAUUAUGGUUACGGGUUAUCUCAUCACAUAAUUUUACAAUGAAUAAUCCUAAUUUACAAUUAUAUUAGGUCAAGAUUUAUAAUUAGUAUUUUAUCCACUAUAGAUGUUUGUCAUAGACUCAUUAGUUUACUAUACACAAAAGAUUAGGUUUUUGAUAUACCGUACAUCUAAAUUGGGAUGUACAAUGUAUGUGGGUGCAACAAUAUUUAAUCAUUGGAUCAUUUACUGAAUAGUUGCUAUUUACUAGAAGCUAUACGAUAUAUGUGAUUAAGAUGGCUCUGUUUUGUUAACUAAUGGAUGUCAACCGAACUAUAUAUAUUCCACUUCACAUGACAUUAUUCCAACUAACUUUAAGUGGUCCAUUUACAACUAGCUCAGUUAUUAUUCUCCUCAGACAAGUUGAAGGUUCAUCUAAGUGUGUUUAUAUUUUAGUUACAAAGUAUGAGGCUAAACUUAUGUAAAUAAUUUAUAAGUCAUAGGUUUAGUUAUAUUUGGACAUAGACUAAUAAAUGGCACUAAUAUUUCCUAUGAUUUAAUUAAUUUGAAACAAUGCUCCUAGUUAGUUUACAUAGGUUUAUAGUGAGAAAGUAUGUUAAAGACAAUUAUUUGACAUCUACUUUACCGUACAAUAUCAAUUUCAUCAUUAGCACAUUUUUAAGUUAACUAUUAUACAUCAUCUUGAUAUUAAUUAUUAAUAAUUAUAAAUAUAUUUUAUUAAAUAGUGAAUUAUAUACCAUUGGAAAGCUUGUGAAUUUAGAUGAAUUCAGGUUCAAGUUUCACUCAAAUCGGAGCUAAAAUGAAUAAGUUAUGCUAGUGUAAAGAAUCAAAUUUGAAUUAAUUCUAAAAAUUGUGAAAUGGUACUGUUCCUAAUUCAUUUAUUUUUAAUACAACCUUAUCCACAGGCUAUAGUGACUGACAGGUGGGGUCUUCCUAUUUUCUUUUCUUUUAUUUUAUUUUUCUUUCUAAAGGAAUCAUAUGGGCAAAUGACAGGUGGGCCCGAUUCCUUUGACUAGGGUCAAACCGGCCAUUUAACUCGGUAGGGCCCGCAUGUCAUAGACUCGAGAUUAUAAAACCUCUAUAAUUAGAUUUUUGACCACCCGGACCCACAUGUAAUAGACUCAACUAAUAAAGAUUAAGAAGAGAAUUACUAUUCACUAAACACGUGGGGCCCACCCUAAUCUCUCCUCUCCUUUCUCUUUUCUCUCUCUCUUCUCUGUUUUCUCUCUUCUCUCCCUCCCGGCUUCUCCUCCCUCCUCUCUCUCUCGGCUCUCUGGCGACGACGACCGAGCAAGGGGAGGAGGCGGCGGCGCGAGGGCGGCGCGACGACGGCGCACGGCGCGGCGGCACGAAGGCGGCGGCGCGGCGUGGUGGAGGGGAAG
rnacentral:lncRNA from 1 species